rnacentral:lncRNA from 1 species
UUGUUGCAACAAUUAGAGGCUGUUUGGUUGCAUGCUGUUGCAACUGCACUGCAGUUGUAACUAUAUAUAAAUACAAAUUUGGUGUUUGAUUUAAUGUAUUUAACUCCAAGUGCUGCGGUAGGAACUGCAGGAGGAAGUCCAAUUGCAUCAAUUGGAACUAUGCCCAAAUUGGCCACAGUUCCAACUGCAACAGCUGAAAAAAGUAACUUUAAACAAAAGGUAAACUUAUCUCCUUAAUUAUUUUUUAAAUAAAAAUUAUUUUUUUUAAAAUCGGAAGUAAUCUCACCAUAUAUAAUGGUAAAAUUUUAAAAAUCAUUUCUCAACUGAAUGCAACCAAAUAAAUUAUUUCUAGUUGUAACACUUUCUACUAUAUCCAACUAAACAAAAUGCAUGUAGUUGCAACUGCACUCAUCUUCAAAUAUAUUGCAUUUAUAACUACAUCUAAUCAAACAGCCCCUUAGUAAGAAUCAUUGUUCUAAAGUAGUG